rnacentral:sRNA from 1 species
GACCGCGCUAAGAUGGCGACUCCCAUGCAUCGGCUGAUAGCCCGGAGACAAGCAGAUGGGGUUUCAUCAUCUUGGCCAGGAUGGUCCUGAAUUCCUGACCUUGUGAUCCACCUGCCUUGGCCUCCCAAAGUGUUGGGAUUACAGGUGUGAGCCACCAUGCCUGGCCUAAGUGAAGCAAAUAAGCAACAUGUAAGAUGUCAGAAAUGCUUGGAAUUUGGACAUUGGACUUACGAAUGCACAGGAAAAAGAAAAUACCUACAUAGGCCCUCAAGGACAGCAGAACUAAAGAAAGCUUUAAAAGAAAAAGAAAACAGAUUAUUAUUGCAACAAAGCAUUGGAGAAACCAAUGUAGAAAGAAAGGCCAAGAAAAAAAGGUCUAAGAGUGUAACCAGUUCCAGUAGCAGUAGCAGUGACAGUUCUGCCAGUGAUUCUUCAUCAGAGAGUGAAGAAACAUCUACCUCUUCCUCCUCAGAGGACAGUGACACUGAUGAAAGCUCCUCUAGUUCCUCAUCCUCAGCCUCCUCCACAACCUCUUCCUCCUCCUCUGAUUCAGACUCAGAUUCCAGCUCUUCCAGUAGCAGUAGCACCAGCACAGAUAGCAGCUCUGA